rnacentral:misc_RNA from 1 species
AUGUAAAAAAGCAUAAAUCGCAACUUCGUCACAAACAAAUUCUCUGAAAUGAAAUUUCGUUUUGAUUAUAAUGGCAACAUCAGAUGUACAGGAACAGAACUUGAAUGAUGAGGUAUCAUUAUGCUCUAUAUGUCUUGAACAAUAUAAAUCACCAGUGAGUUUACAUUGUUCACACUCCUUCUGUCGAACUUGUCUCUCAACACACAUCAAAUCGUCAUGUAAGAACUGCGACCACCCUCUUGGAUUUCCGUGUCCUCUGUGCCGCGUGUUUAUUCCUGCACCAGGUGAAAUAAAUCAGUAUUCUGUGAACGAAUGGGCAACGAAAUUUCCAGAAAACAAGUUCUUUACAACUGUAGCAGGUGUUCGUGUUAUUUUGUGCAAACCAUGCCGAGGAGAUGGAGAAGAGGUAACUGCACAAAGCUGGUGCAAGGAUUGUUCCGAGGCGCUUUGUGAAGAGUGUACGAAAUAUCACAAAAAGUACCGACCCUGUCGCAAGCAUGUGGUACUCUCUCUCGCCGAAUGGUCAGAUAUUUCCAGAAUUCCAGAUACGUUAGAAAUAUGUGAGACUCACGAUGGUCGUAAAUUUGAACUAUUUUGUAGAAAACAUUUUAUCCCAUGCUGCUCGGUUUGUGUAACCAAAGAUCAUAACAGUUGUACAAAUUUCUGUCAACUAGAAGAAGUCGGUAAAAGUUUCACAGAAUCUGAAAAAGUAAAGGUUUUGCAGAGCGGAAUGAAAAAAUUCUGUUUGAAAGUAGAAAACAUUAUUGAAAAAGAAAAAGCAAACAUAAACCAUAUUGACGACAUAGCUGACACAUUUACAAAAGAAUUAUCAGAUGUUACAACUAAUAUAAUUCAGGCUGUGAAAAAACUGGAGGAAGAACAUUUAAAUGAACUCUCCAAAUUAUCAAAGGAAAGUAAAUCUAAGCUUCAAAAGUCUGUGGAUUCUUUCGAGCAAAGGCUUCUCUAUCUGAAAUAUUGGAGAGAAAUGUUGUCAAAGAAUCUUUCGAAUGAGACAGCAUCAGAAACCAAACGGGUCUUAUCUUAUAUAAAACUGAAGAACAUUCAUGAAAAUCUCCAAAAACUGAAAUAUACAAAGUUAGACAUUUGUAUUAAAACAGAAGUAUUAGACGAUGUGAAAAAACUGAUUGAAUUACCUUGUCUUGCUGAUGUGUCUGCAGAUGAAAAUUUAGAUCAAGUUGAUUUAAAUGUAGAGAAUAUUGAUUACAUACAUGCUAAAGUGAUCAAAAUAUCUGAAUUUACAAUACAAGGUGCUGAUAUAAGAGGUGGUACUUUUAUGAGUGGUGGUAACCUGUUCUUAGCUGACUUAAAUGGGAAAAGAUGUAUUCUUUGUGACACAAAUGGAUUCAUUUUACAAGAAGUGAAAUUACAAGAAUCACCCUGGGACGUGUUUACAGAAGGGGAGGAGAUUCUCGUAACGAAUCCCAAUAAUAAAUCGAUUUUGAAGAUAGACUCUACUUCACUUGAAAUCAUAGAAACGGUUCCUGUUGUUUGUAGUUGUCAUGGAAUAGCUACGUCUGGAAACACAACCGCCAUUGGUACUUGUAAUUCUGUUGAAAUCUUUGAUGAAAGUUUUGAUGUUACGAGACGAAGAACACUGUCAACUGGCCUUAGCUAUAUUUAUGGCGUUGUAAUAGACAAUGAAAACAAUGUAAUCUGUAGUAGUUUUGAUCAACACGUUGUCAAAAAACUAAGCUUACGGGGAAAUGUUUUGUUCACCUAUAAUCACGAAAAGCUACAGCGUCCAUACGGAGUAACCACAGACAUGAAGGAAAUAUAUUCAUAAACGGUUUCAUCAGUAACAAUAUCCAUAUUUUGUCAAGGGAUGGCAAACUCCUACGUAUCGUGGAAGGAGUAACGAAUCCAACGUACAUUAAAUUCCAGAAUGCCACAAACAGAUUUUUUGUAGGCAAUCAUAAAGGAAGUGUUACAGUCUUCGAAUUUAAGGAAAGUUAAAUUUUGUACGAAUCAAUUGCUGAUUAUGUUUUCAUGUAUCUCCGAACGAUCUUCAAAAGUCAAUGUUUGAUGUCUCUAGUUUCCUCUAUCUGAUGGGUAUUCUACAAGAAUGUUUAGGAAUUGACCAUGUCUGUUGGAAUUAAAUAACGAGGUGAUGACUUUAAAUGAUUGUAGCUACUAAGUAUUCACUGUUUCACAAGUACAUAUAUUAAAUGUAUAAACUUCAU